UUACCAUGAAGCUAUAAUUUCACUUUCAUGAUUAAACAUGGUCCAAUUUAAAUGUUUUUCUUUUCAUGUUAAGCAUAUUAAAAUAUUUUGGGGGAGGGAUAAAUGGUAUAAGUUUGAGUUUAUAUUUGUCAAUUAAGUAAAAUUUAAUAGACCAACAUUUUGAAUAGUCUUUUAGGCUGGAUACAUCUUUGACUGUUUUUAUAAUUAGUAAGACUCUAAUCUUGGUAAGCCUUAGUUAAAUGUGGAAAAUGCAAUUGAUACAUAGAAUUAACUACAGACUAUUGAAGACACAGAAUAGAGGAGAAUGUGAAGAGUGGUGGACAAAUUUAUUUUCUCAUAUGUAAAACAAUCACUAAAGACUACUUUUUAGUUGUGUUAUUAUAAGGUGAAUAUAUAACACAGUUUCUGGCACAUAGUAAACUCUUAAAUUUUGAUUUUGAUCUGAUAAAAUUCUAUUGAUUUUAUCAGUAACACAAUGAGUAUUAAAAAAUUCUAUAUUGGUUCAUUUCUGAAUUAAUUAAUUUUAUUGGUAAAAUAGGUGGGAGUAAGUUCCAGAAGUGAACAGAUUGACAAAACGAGGACCUUUAACGUAGGAAGACAAGUACUCGGAGCUGGCAUAAUUAAAGCGUGUGUGUUCCUAGAGGUAGGGAUAGGGUUAAUAAUGUUUGUUCUUUGGACUCACAGAUAAUAGAUAAUACUUUCAGAAUAUUACAGUUAACUUAUGAUUAUUUAAAACCAAAUUUCACAUAGUACUAAAAAUAUUAAGUAGAUGAACAAAUGGUACAUUAUGAGUUAGAAAAUAGUAUAUAUUGAACAGUAAGGUGGUAGAAUUUUCAUUCUAAGAAGUUGCAGGUGUAUGUGAAUAACACUAGUUGUGGACGGUUAGGUUCUUGUGUAUGUCAGGGUGUUGUGGAUGUGUGACGUGUUGUGGGUGAUACUGGAGACAGUACCUGUCUCCUCAUAAAUUACAUAUGGAUGUCUUUUUCAGAAAGGAUGGUGAGUUGAUGCAUGUGGCAGUCUUAUAUUUUUGCCUGUAUGUUUUUUAUAUAUGUUCCUGAAUCUGUGUGGAGAAGUGGAACAAGAAGUUUAUGUUUUAUAAGAUUGCAAAGGAUUGGAAAGAUUGAUGGUUUCAUCUUCAGAAAGCCUUAAAAAAGGGUGUUAAAAUCUCUAAUGUUACUUUCCUUUUUAGACACAUUUU